AGCGAACGCUGGCGGCAGGCCUAAUACAUGCAAGUCGAACGGAUCCUUCGGGAUUAGUGGCGGACGGGUGAGUAACACGUGGGAACGUGCCCUUUGGUUCGGAACAACUCAGGGAAACUUGAGCUAAUACCGGAUAAGCCCUUCGGGGAAGGAUUAUUCGCCAUUGGAGCGGCCCGCCGUCUGAUUAGCUAGUUGGUGGGGUAAAGGACCGUACCAAGGCGACGAUCAGUAGCUGGUCUGAGAGGAUGAUCAGCCACACUGGGAC
rnacentral:rRNA from 1 species